CGAUAAUGACGGUACCAGAGGAGGAAGCCACGGCUAACUACGUGCCAGCAGCCGCGGUAAUACGUAGGUGGCGAGCGUUGUCCGGAUUUACUGGGCGUAAAGGGUGCGUAGGCGGAUGUUUAAGUGGGAUGUGAAAUCCCCGGGCUUAACCUGGGGGCUGCAUUCCAAACUGGAUAUCUAGAGUGCAGGAGAGGAAAGCGGAAUUCCUAGUGUAGCGGUGAAAUGCGUAGAGAUUAGGAAGAACACCAGUGGCGAAGGCGGCUUUCUGGACUGUAACUGACGCUGAGGCACGAAAGCGUGGGUAGCAAACAGGAUUAGAUACCCUGGUAGUCCACGCCGUAAACGAUGGAUACUAGGUGUAGGGGGUAUCAACUCCCUCUGUGCCGCAGUUAACACAAUAAGUAUCCCGCCUGGGGAGUACGGUCGCAAGAUUAAAACUCAAAGGAAGUGACGGGGGCCCGCACAAGCAGCGGAGCAUGUGGUUUAAUGCGAAGCAACGCGAAGAACCUUACCUGGACUUGACAUCCCUUGCAUAGCCUAGAGAUAGGUGAAGCCCUUCGGGGCAAGGAGACAGGUGGUGCAUGGUUGUCGUCAGCUCGUGUCGUGAGAUGUUAGGUUAAGUCCUGCAACGAGCGCAACCCUUGUUAUUAGUUGCUACCAUUAAGUUGAGCACUCUAAUGAGACUGCCUGGGUAACCAGGAGGAAGGUGGGGAUGACGUCAAAUCAUCAUGCCCCUUAUGUCC
rnacentral:ncRNA from 1 species